rnacentral:rRNA from 1 species
GAUGAACGCUGGCGGCGUGCUUAACACAUGCAAGUCGAACGAUGAAGCCCAGCUUGCUGGGUGGAUUAGUGGCGAACGGGUGAGUAACACGUGAGUAACCUGCCCUUAACUCUGGGAUAAGCCUGGGAAACUGGGUCUAAUACCGGAUAGGAGCGUCCACCGCAUGGUGGGUGUUGGAAAGAUUUAUCGGUUUUGGAUGGACUCGCGGCCUAUCAGCUUGUUGGUGAGGUAAUGGCUCACCAAGGCGACGACGGGUAGCCGGCCUGAGAGGGUGACCGGCCAAAUGGGGACGGAGAAACGGCCAGACUCCUACGGGAGGCAGCAGUGGGGAAUAUUGCACAAUGGGCGCAAGCCUGAUGCAGCGACGCCGCGUGAGGGAUGACGGCCUUCGGGUUGUAAACCUCUUUCAGUAGGGAAGAAGCGAAAGUGACGGUACCUGCAGAAGAAGCACCGGCUAACUACGUG